rnacentral:rRNA from 1 species
ACGCUCGACACCUACUGGAGGCAGCAGUGGGGAAUAUUGCACAAUGGGGGAAACCCUGAUGCAGCGACGCCGCGUGGAGGAAGAAGGUCUUCGGAUUGUAAACUCCUGUUGUUGGGGAAAAAGAGGAUGGUACCCAACAAGGAAGUGACGGCUAACUACGUGCCAGCAGCCGCGUAAGUCUGAGCGGGCUGGCAAGGC